AGUCGAGCGGUAGAGAGAAGCUUGCUUCUCUUGAGAGCGGCGGACGGGUGAGUAAUGCCUAGGAAUCUGCCUGGUAGUGGGGGAUAACGUUCGGAAACGGACGCUAAUACCGCAUACGUCCUACGGGAGAAAGCAGGGGACCUUCGGGCCUUGCGCUAUCAGAUGAGCCUAGGUCGGAUUAGCUAGUUGGUGGGGUAAUGGCUCACCAGGGCGACGAUCCGUAACUGGUCUGAGAGGAUGAUCAGUCACACUGGAACUGAGACACGGUCCAGACUCCUACGGGAGGCAGCAGUGGGGAAUAUUGGACAAUGGGCGAAAGCCUGAUCCAGCCAUGCCGCGUGUGUGAAGAAGGUCUUCGGAUUGUAAAGCACUUUAAGUUGGGAGGAAGGGCAGUAAAUUAAUACUUUGCUGUUUUGACGUUACCGACAGAAUAAGCACCGGCUAACUCUGUGCCAGCAGCCGCGGUAAUACAGAGGGUGCAAGCGUUAAUCGGAAUUACUGGGCGUAAAGCGCGCGUAGGUGGUUAGUUAAGUUGGAUGUGAAAUCCCCGGGCUCAACCUGGGAACUGCAUUCAAAACUGACUGACUAGAGUAUGGUAGAGGGUGGUGGAAUUUCCUGUGUAGCGGUGAAAUGCGUAGAUAUAGGAAGGAACACCAGUGGCGAAGGCGACCACCUGGACUGAUACUGACACUGAGGUG
rnacentral:rRNA from 1 species